ACAUAUAGGUUGUAGGGAACGUGAAAGGGACCGACCCUUCGGGAGGCCUAUACAGGUGUUGCAUGGCUGUCGUCAGCUCGUGUCGUGAGAUGUUCGGUUAAGUCCGCUAACGAGCGCAACCCUCGUCGUAUGUUAUAUGUGUCAUACGAGACUGCCGGUAAAAGCCGGAGGAAGGUGAGGAUGAUGUCAAGUCAGCAUGACCUUUAUAUCCAGGGCUACACACACGCUACAAUGGUCUGUACAAUGGGUAGCCAAGCCGCGAGGCGGAGCCAAUCCUGAAAGCAGGCCUCAGUUCAGAUUGCAGUCUGCAACUCGACUGCAUGAAGCCGGAGUUGCUAGUAACCGCAGGUCAGCAAUACUGCGGUGAAUACGUUCCCGGGUCUU
rnacentral:rRNA from 1 species